rnacentral:rRNA from 1 species
GACGAACCGUGCAACCGUUGUUCGGAAUCACUGGGCUUAAAGGGCGCGUAGGCGGCUCGCCAAGUCGGGGGUGAAAUCUUUCGGCUUAACCGGAAAAGUGCCUUCGAUACUGGCGGGCUGGAGGGAGGUAGGGGCAUGUGGAACUUCCGGUGGAGCGGUGAAAUGCGUUGAUAUCGGAAGGAACGCCGGUGGCGAAAGCGACGUGCUGGACCUCUUCUGACGCUGAGGCGCGAAAGCUAGGGGAGCGAACGGG